rnacentral:rRNA from 1 species
AUACAGAGACCUCUAGCGUUAUCCGGAUUUAUUGGGCGUAAAGCGCAGGUAGGCGGACAUAUUAGUCAGAUGUCAAAUCCUCGAGCUCAACUCGAGAACUGCAUUUGAAACGGUAUGUCUAGAGAAUACGAGAGACCAGUGGAACUUAUGGUGUAGCAGUGAAAUGCGUUGAUAUCAUAGGGAACACCAAAGGCGAAGGCAUCUGGUUGGCGUAUUUCUGACGCUGAGCUGCGAAAGCGUGGGUAGCGAAUGGGAUUAGAUACCCCAGUAGUCCACGCCCUAAACGAUGCACACUUGGCAUUUUGGGAAUCGACCCCCAAAGUGUCGUAGCUAACGCGUUAAGUGUGCCGCCUGGGAAGUACGAGCGCAAGCUUAAA